rnacentral:rRNA from 1 species
GAUGAACGCUGGCGGCGUGCCUAAUACAUGCAAGUCGAGCGAACAGAUGAGGAGCUUGCUCCUCUGACGUUAGCGGCGGACGGGUGAGUAACACGUGGAUAACCUACCUAUAAGACUGGGAUAACUUCGGGAAACCGGAGCUAAUACCGGAUAAUAUAUUGAACCGCAUGGUUCAAUAGUGAAAGACGGUUUUGCUGUCACUUAUAGAUGGAUCCGCGCCGCAUUAGCUAGUUGGUAAGGUAACGGCUUACCAAGGCAACGAUGCGUAGCCGACCUGAGAGGGUGAUCGGCCACACUGGAACUGAGACACGGUACAGACUCCUACGGGAGGCAGCAGUAGGGAAUCUUCCGCAAUGGGCGAAAGCGUGACGGAGCAACGCCGCGUGAGUGAUGAAGGUCUUCGGAUCGUAAAACUCUGUAAUUAGGGAAGAACAAAUGUUUAAGUAACUAUGCACGUCUUGACGGUACCUAAUCAGAAAGCCACGGCUAACUACGUG